AUGAACGCUGGCGGCGUGCCUCAUACAUGCAAGUCGAGCGAACAGACGAGGAGCUUGCUCCUCUGACGUUAGCGGCGGACGGGUGAGUAACACGUGGAUAACCUACCUAUAAGACUGGGAUAACUUCGGGAAACCGGAGCUAAUACCGGAUAAUAUAUUUAACCGCAUGGUUCAAUAGUGAAAGACGGUUUUGCUGUCACUUAUAGAUGGAUCCGCGCCGCAUUAGCUAGUUGGUAAGGUAACGGCUUACCAAGGCAACGAUGCGUAGCCGACCUGAGAGGGUGAUCGGCCACACUGGAACUGAGACACGGUCCAGACUCCUACGGGAGGCAGCAGUAGGGAAUCUUCCGCAAUGGGCGAAAGCCUGACGGAGCAACGCCGCGUGAGUGAUGAAGGUCUUCGGAUCGUAAAACUCUGUUAUUAGGGAAGAACAAAUGUGUAAGUAACUAUGCACGUCUUGACGGUACCUAAUCAGAAAGCCACGGCUAACUACGUG
rnacentral:rRNA from 1 species